rnacentral:tRNA from 1 species
AUUUAUAUAGUUUAAUAAAACAUUACAUUUUCAUUGUAAAAUUAGAUUACUUAUCUUAUAAAUA